AGAACAUGGCGGGCAUCGGCUGCAGCGGGAUGGUGGAGCAGCAGCUCAAAAGGACUAAGACACAGGUUUUUCAAGUCCCUGCUGCGUUGGGAGCUCUCUGAGGCCUUUGUAUUUCAGUUUCACUCAUCAAGUCAUUCUCUGUGGAAAGGCUAAUCUGCAAAAAUCUACUCCAACCUUAUCAGAAGUGGACACCUAAGUGGAAAUUUUGGGUGGUCAUUUAACCUGGCCGUUUCUGUGUCCACUUGUCGACUUGUCCACUUGCUGAGCAUAUCCCAAACUCCCUCAUGCCUCUUUUGGAGGUGAACUGUGAAAUAAACUAGGUCAUUUGGAGUUAAAAACAAAGAAAGGAGAGAAGAAGAAGUUUUCUGCUGGCUUUUGAGGUCUUUGAAUGUUAAGCAUCUUUUGCUGUGGAAGGAAAAGUAUGCCUGCUAAAGGGUUUUCUGACAUCAGGGAGCUGGUUGGGAAGGUUUUUAAGCUCCUGAGUUACCCCUGACAGAGGAGACCCUGGGCUGUGUGGACCUUUGGUCUUCCCUGCAAGCAUCUCAGAUAAUUUUCAGAUUAGCAGCACACAGAAGCAAAACCCGUGUAAAAAGCUGAAGUGAAACGCCCAGUUCUCCACAUGACACAUGCCUGUACUACACUGUGACUGGCAGGUACCUACUGCUUUCUCAGCAAACCUUGGUUCUUGUUUGAUCUGCAGAGCUUUGGCAUAGAGACAAUUCUGUGUUUCUCCCAUGAAGCAAAGACACAAGUCUUGUUGACUGAUGGCAAUUAAUCAUAAUGAGGAUACCUUGACUGUAACAUGGACACUGAACAUAGGAUAUUAUCUGCUCAUAAUAAGAC